ACCACCGCCAUCUUGAGCGGAGGUGUUCCGUGUGGCGCUUCCGCUGAGGGGCCCGUGUAGCCGUUUCCCACCCAAACUCUGCUCUGCGUGCCGCCCCCUGUCAGCAAGGGGGCCUAGACUCAGGAUAGAAUGAAAAGGUAGAAUGGGAUGCUUGGAAAUCACUGUAACUGAUGAUGCUCAACUAGAAGUUAGAAUAUGGGUAACUGAUGUCAUGCCUACGAACCUUCCCUGUCAUGGUCCCAGUGAUGGAGAGCCAGUCAACGCAAUGAUCCCUUUUCCACCUUCCUUUGCUCUACUUUGUCCUCAGUUGGCCUCGGGGUUAUUUGGUGAUGGUAGAAUUAGCAGACAGUCCGAAGGUAGGUGCUUGCAUUCCCUUAGCUGAAUGUCUCUAAAACAAUGCCAACUCUGACUAGAACCUCUUU
rnacentral:lncRNA from 1 species